GAUUAACGCUGGCGGCGUGCAUAACACAUGCAAGUCGAACGAUGAAACUUUAAUGAACCCUUCGGGGAGAAUUAAAGCGGAUUAGUGGCGAACGGGUGAGUAACGCGUGAGUAACCUGCCUUACACAAGGGGAUAGCCUUUGGAAACGAAGAAUAAUACCCUAUAAAACCAUAAAAUCACAUGCAAUGAUGGUCAAAGUGAUAGCGGUGUAAGAUGGACUUGCGUCUGAUUAGCUAGUUGGUGAGAUAAAAGCCCACCAAGGCAACGAUCAGUAGCCGGCUUGAGAGAGUGUACGGCCACAUUGGGACUGAGACACGGCCCAGACUCCUACGGGAGGCAGCAGUGGGGAAUUUUGCACAAUGGGGGAAACCCUGAUGCAGCGACGCCGCGUGAUUUAGAAGGCCUUCGGGUUGUAAAAAUCUUUUGUAUAGGAAGAAAAUGACAGUACUAUACGAAUAAGGUCCGGCUAAUUACGUG
rnacentral:rRNA from 1 species